CUGCCCUACGCACGAGUUCCACUAAUCAAGUUUUGAGCGGAUUCGAAAGUCGAAAACUUGACACGUUGAGCUCGUCCGUGGGGCGG
rfam:Drosophila virilis strain TSC#15010-1051.87 Ctg01_15347, whole genome shotgun sequence.